rnacentral:rRNA from 1 species
UAGCUAGUUGGUGAGGUAACGGCUCACCAAGGCGACGAUGCGUAGCCGACCUGAGAGGGUGAUCGGCCACAUUGGGACUGAGACACGGCCCAGACUCCUACGGGAGGCAGCAGUGGGGAAUAUUGGGCAAUGGGCGCAAGCCUGACCCAGCAACGCCGCGUGAAGGAAGAAGGCUUUCGGGUUGUAAAGCUCUGUUAUACGGGACGAACGGCUAGUGUGCCAAUACCACAUUAGAAUGACGGUACCGUAAGAGAAAGCCACGGCUAACUAC